GCCAUUGAAAAUUUCCCUCCGGUCAACUAAAAUAUCCAUUCAAUAUUCAGACUCAGCCGCUGCUGCCUCUGUUUGAUUAUUUCCAACUAGUAGCAAUCACCGAGUGGUUUUAUGCUUUUUAUCCGAUUACCGACGAGAACGAGCACAAGUGUUCCAUAAUAUUCACUCGAAAUUUCAUCUCCCAAAAGAUGCCUUCUGCAUGUUCACCUCACUUGAUUUGGACCGGUGUGUGAGCUCCCUCGCAGUUGACUCACUGACCGACGCCGCCGCUCUGCCGCGCACUCUUCGAGUAGGAGCCUCUCAUCCACUUCCACUCCCCCGACCCGCCGCCCGCGUGAUCGCGACGUGACGGCGGCGAUGCAUCCCCACGCCGUGGGCGGCGCCGGGAAGGCGACCGCGCCGUACGGGUCCUGGGAGUCGCCGAUCAGCGCCGCCGCCGUCUCGGCUGCCGGGAGCACCGCCGAGGGGCUCGCCGUCGCGGGCGACGGCCGGCUCGUCUGGGUCGAGACGCGCCCCGAGGAAGGAGGGCGCGCGGUCCUCGUGAAGGAACCGGCGGAGCCAGGCGGCAAGGCUCGGGAUGUGACGCCGCAGGGGUUCGCGGUGCGCUCCCUCGCGCAGGAAUACGGCGGUGGUGCAUUCGCCGUGCAAGGGGACGUCGUUGUCUUCUCUAACUACAGCGACCAGCGUCUGUACAAGCAAACAAUCGGAGAUAACUUGCCACUACCGUUGACACCAGAUUAUGCUGGAUCAGUGGUACGCUAUGCUGAUGGUGUCUUUGAUCCUCACUUCCAUCGUUUUGUAACUAUAAUGGAAGAUCAUCGCCACGGUAGCUCAAAUCCCAUCACUACAAUUGCUGCUGUAAGAAUAAGUAAUCGAGAUAUCGAAGAACCCACUAUGCUGGUCAGUGGCAAUGAUUUUUAUGCCUUCCCACGUGCUGAUCCAACUAAGAAACGUAUGGCAUGGAUCGAGUGGAGUAACCCGAACAUGUCAUGGGAUAAAUCACAACUAUGGGUUGGAUAUUUCAACGAGAAAGGUGAGGUACAAAAACGUAUCUGUGUUGCGGGUGGAGACCCAACACUAGUAGAAUCUCCUACUGAACCCAAGUGGUCCUCAAAAGGGGAGCUGUUCUUCAUAACUGAUCGACGGAGUGGGUUUUGGAAUAUUUAUAAAUGGGAUGAGCAGAGCAAUUUGGUAACAACACUGUAUUCACUCGAUGCUGAAUUCUCCAAGCCCAUGUGGAUUUUUGGUGUCAGCUCCUAUGAUUUCCUUGGAAAAGACAACUCAAGUCACAAAAUCAUUUGCUGUUACAGGUUUUCAUAUUUUCUGAUAGUUGUACUUUAUGCAUUUCAGAAGAAUCAGCAUGCUUUUUUUUUAUCCAGGCAGAAUGGAAAGUCAUACGUUGGUGUGCUUGACCAUGAUUCAGACUCUUUUUCAAAAAUUGACAUCCCCUUCUCUUCUGUAAAUAACAUUGUGUCUGGAGAUGGAUCCUUCUAUAUCGAAGGUGCAUCUGCUAGUCUUCCAGUAUCAAUAGCAAAGGUGACACUUGAUGAAAAGAGAACUAUUGCAACCGAUUUCUCCAUAGUUUGGUCCUCCUCAGAGGAUGUAGCAAAAUUUAAAUCCUACUUCAGCUUUCCUGAAUUUGUGGAGUUUCCAACUGUGAUCCCUGGUCAGCAUGCAUAUUCUUAUUUCUAUGCUCCAUAUAAUGAUAUUUUCCAAGGUUCAUCAGAUGAAAAGCCUCCGCUACUGGUCAGAACCCAUGGUGGACCUACAGAUGAAGCACGAGGGGUCCUGGAUCUUAGUGUGCAGUACUGGACAAGCCGAGGAUGGGCAUUUGUUGAUGUUAACUAUGGGGGAAGCUCAGGCUAUGGGAGAGAAUUCCGAGAGAGGCUUUUAGGGCAAUGGGGUGUUGUUGAUGUAAAUGAUUGCUGCAGUUGUGCUGCAUUCCUGGUGGGAACCGGAAGAGUGGAUGGACAACGGCUUUGUGUAACAGGAGAAUCUGCUGGUGGAUUCACAACUUUAGCUUGUCUUGCUUUCAGACAGACCUUCAAGGCUGGUUCAUCUUUAUAUGGGAUAGCUGACUUAGCUUCAUUGAGGGCAGGAAUGCACAAAUUUGAAGCAUACUAUAUUGAUAACCUUGUGGGGAAUAAACAAGCUUACUUUGAGAGAUCGCCAAUAAAUUUUGUUGACAAAUUUUCAUGUCCAGUGAUUUUAUUUCAAGGAUUGGAAGACACAGUAAGGUUGUAUCACCAGAUCAGGCAACGAAAAUAUACAAGGCGAUAAAGGACAAAGGUCUUCCAGUUGCUCUGGUUGAGUAUGAAGGGGAACAACACGGUUUCCGCAAGGCUGAGAACAUCAAAUUCACCUUGGAGCAGGAGAUGGUGUUCUUCGCAAGAUUAGUGGGAAAAUUCAAGGUGGCUGAUGACAUUACUCCAAUCAAGAUUGAAAACGUUGACUAGCCCUUGCUGUAAACGUUUUAAGUGGCAGCAAUCUGCAUUCUGUUUACCCACCAUCAACUGCUGAACUAGUCAGCUUUAGAUGCAACUUUGUACAGCCUGCACUUCCUAGAUGUUCUUCAACUGAACCGAAGUUUUAGGCUGUGUCUACGAGACUAUGACUAUGGGCAAUAAGCCAAACUCUUCCACUUGUUGACACAGCAAGGAGCAGGGCUUCUCUCUAAA